AUGCACGCUGGCGGCGUGCCUCAUACAUGCAAGUCGAGCGCACAGACGAGGAGCUUGCUCCUCUGACGUUAGCGGCGGACGGGUGAGUAACACGUGGAUAACCCACCUAUAAGACUGGGAUAACUUCGGGAAACCGGAGCUAAUACCGGAUAAUAUAUUGAACCGCAUGGUUCAAUAGUGAAAGACGGUUUUGCUGUCACUUAUAGAUGGAUCCGCGCCGCAUUAGCUAGUUGGUAAGGUAACGGCUUACCAAGGCAACGAUGCGUAGCCGACCUGAGAGGGUGAUCGGCCACACUGGAACUGAGACACGGUCCAGACUCCUACGGGAGGCAGCAGUAGGGAAUCUUCCGCAAUGGGCGAAAGCCUGACGGAGCAACGCCGCGUGAGUGAUGAAGGUCUUCGGAUCGUAAAACUCUGUUAUUAGGGAAGAACAAAUGUGUAAGUAACUAUGCACGUCUUGACGGUACCUAAUCAGAAAGCCACGGCUAACUACGUG
rnacentral:rRNA from 1 species